GCGCGGGGUGGAGCAGCCGGUAGCUCGUCGGGCUCAUAACCCGAAGGUCGUCGGUUCAAAUCCGGCCCGCAACC
rnacentral:tRNA from 1 species